rnacentral:rRNA from 1 species
UCAAGCUAAUAAGAGCGCAAGGGGAAUGCCUUGGCAUCAGGAGCCGACGAAGGACGUGACAAGCUGCGAUAAGCUACGGUGAGGAGCAAAUAUCCUGUGACCCGUAGAUUUCCGAAUGGGGCAACCCGGCUGGACAAUAUCCAGUCAUCCUGCAUUGAAUAAAAUAGGUGUAGGAAGGGAACCGCCUGAACUGAAACAUCUAAGUAGGGCGAGGAAAAGACAUCAACCGAGAUUCCGCAAGUAGUGGCGAGCGAACGCGGAAGAGGCCAAACCGGAGGAUUUAUUCUCCGGGGUUGCGGACAGCUAUACGGAACAAUAGUUUAGCCGAACGGUCUGGGAAGGCCGGUCACAGAGGGUGAGAACCCCGUAGGCGAAAGACGAAUUGUUUCAGGCUGGAUCCAGAGUACCGCAGGACACGUGAAACCCUGUGGGAAACAGGGGGGACCACCCUCCAAGCCUAAAUACUACCUGAUGACCGAUAGAGGAGCAGUACCGUGAGGGAAAGGUGAAAAGGACCCCGGGAGGGGAGUGAAAGAGAACCUGAAACCUUGUGCUUACAAGCAGUCAGAGCACGUUAACGUGUGAUGGCGUACUUUUUGUAGAACGGUCCGGCGAGUUAUAGUAACGAGCAAGCUUAAGGUAUUCAGUACCGGAGGCGAAGCGAAAGCGAGUCUGAAUAGGGCGCAUGAAGUUCGUUGCCAUAGACCCGAAACCGGGUGACCUACGCAUGAGCAGGUUGAAGUGGGGGUGAAACCCCAUGGAGGACCGAACCAACCCCCGUUGCAAUGGUGGUGGAUGACUUGUGUGUAGCGGUGAAAUUCCAAUCGAACUCGGAGAUAGCUGGUUCUCCCCGAAAUAGCUUUAGGGCUAGCGUUAGUUUAGAUUACCGGAGGUAAAGCACUGAAUGGUUUAGGGGCUGAUAAAGUUACCGACGCCUAUCAAACUCUGAAUGCCGGAUAAUUGAUGACUAGCAGUCAGACAGUGUGAGAUAAGUUUCAUUGUCAAAAGGGAAACAGCCCAGACCUACAGCUAAGGUCCCAAAUGUAUGCUAAGUGGAAAACGAUGUGGAAUUGCGAAAACAACCAGGAUGUUGGCUUAGAAGCAGCCACACAUUAAAAGAGUGCGUAAUAGCUCACUGGUCGAGUGACUCUGCGCGGAAAAUGUAACGGGGCUAAGCAUACAACCGAAGCUUAGGAUUGUCUAAAGACAGUGGUAGGGGAGCGUUCUGUAUGGGGUGAAGUCGCAGCGAGAGCAGCGGUGGACUGUACAGAAGUGAGAAUGCCGGAAUGAGUAGCGAGAAUUAUGUGGGAAUCAUAAUGGCCGAAAAUCUAAGGUUUCUUGGGGAAGGUUCGUCCGCCCAAGGUAAGUCGGGAGCUAAGCUCAGGCCGAGAGGCGUAGGCGAUGCACAUACGGUAGAAAUUCCGUAACCACCGAACUUUAAGCAUGAGGGACACUUUGAGAUAGCGGAACCCGGGCGUUGGUUGACCCGGGCGAAAGGGACCGAAAUAUAGUAGGGAAGUCCGCGAUGCUUGGAGGCGAGAAAAGCUCAUGUGUAUACUAAGGUGCCCGUACCGCAAACCGACACAGGUAGAUGAGGAGAGAAUCCUAAGGCCAACGGGAGAAGGGUUGUUAAGGAACUCGGCAAGAUGACCCCGUAACUUCGGAAGAAGGGGAGCCUCGAAAGAGGCCGCAGUGAAUAGGCCCAAGCAACUGUUUACCAAAAACACAGGUUUAUGCUAAAUCGAAAGAUGACGUAUAUGAGCUGACGCCUGCCCGGUGCCGGAAGGUUAAGAGGAGAUGUCAACCGCGAGGUGAAGCAUUGAAUUGAAGCCCCGGUAAACGGCGGCCGUAACUAUAACGGUCCUAAGGUAGCGAAAUUCCUUGUCAGGUAAGUUCUGACCCGCACGAAAGG